rnacentral:piRNA from 1 species
UCACUCAUCAAGUAUGGAUUGGGAAGGCCU